CAAGUGUCACACAGGACCGCCGGUCUUAAGCCGAGGAAGUGGGGAUGACGUCAAGUCAGCAUGGCCUUUAUGUCCAGGGCUACACACACGCUACAAUGGUCAGCACAAUAGGUAGCCAAGCCGCGAGGUGGAGCCAAUCCUCAAAGCUGGCCUCAGUUCAGAUCGCAGGCUGCAACCCGCCUGCGUGAAGCCGGAGUUGCUAGUAACCGCAGGUCAGCUAUACUGCGGUGAAUACGUUCCCGGGGCUU
rnacentral:rRNA from 1 species